rnacentral:rRNA from 1 species
UACGUAGGGACCAAGCGUUGUUCGGAUUUACUGGGCGUAAAGGGCGCGUAGGCGGCUUAACAAGUCACUUGUGAAAUCUCCGGGCUUAACUCGGAACGGCCAAGUGAAACUGUCAAGCUAGAGUGCAGAAGGGGCAAUCGGAAUUCUUGGUGUAGCGGUGAAAUGCGUAGAUAUCGAGAGGAACACCUGCGGCGAAGGCGGGUUGCUGGGCCGACACUGACGCUGAGGAGCGAAAGCCAGGGGAGCAAACGGG